rnacentral:rRNA from 1 species
GUGGUACCGUCAGUCAUGUGCAUUUUAAUACACACAAGGUUCUUCCCACUUGACAGAGCUUUACGACCCAAGGCCUUCAUCACUCACGCGGCGUUGCUGCGUCAGGGUUUCCCCCAUUGCGCAAAAUUCCUCA